GCCGGCCGGUAAGCGCACAAGAGCUCACGUUCAAUCCACAUUCCUUUGCAAUAUUGUAGCCGGUUAAUAAGUCAACGCAAUAAACAUAUCGUCUGCACGUCUCGCGUUCGCUGGGAAGUAUGGCAAACACCUCAUAGAUACACAAUAAACACGGAUCUAGACUAUGUCUAUUAUGGAUCUAUUUCAAAAAACGACCCUACCUUAUCUACCGUACCUCAGCAAGAUGGCUGGGGGGGGACUACCCCAGCUGGUUCUGAGCGAGGGGCAGGAAUACACUCAAAGUGUAUUCCUGCCUCUAACUCACAACCGUGGCCGAUUUAGUAUCUCCGAUUAACCUGUAUGCAUGUUUUUGGGAUUGGGGAAACCUAGGUGGACACGGGGAGAACAUGCAAACUCCGCACAGAGCCGAGAUUCGAUAUCACGACCUUCGGACUGUGAGGCGACAGCGCUACCCACUGAGCCACCGUGCCACCGAUUACAAUGCUUGCUUGGUAAACUAUCAAGGAUCAUCAACGAUGACGUGCCCUUAGCCUCAUAGCUCCAGGCUAGCUCCCGUAAUUAGUACUGCUCGGUUCUUCCCGGUUUAGCAAUGGCGACCUUCUACACCCGCUGUCAAUAGGAGCUCCCAAAUAUAAACAUCACUCGCCUUCAUAGGAUUUUCACAACGACUAAACACUCAACCGGCAAAUUGGAGAAAGGCUAUUCAUUACAUGACAUGUGUAUUUUUGCAACUACCAAGCAAUCCACCAGGCCGUCUCCAGAUCUCUUGUGGCACGCUACCAGAAAUAUGUGGAUGAAGCCUCUAGGAAGUAGAUCUGACAUCCUGAUCCGGUACCGCGGGACCUUGUUGGUGGCCGACUCCCGCCGCUCCUGGUCCGACGAGUUUGCUGGACCCGGAGCUCGCCCUCGCUGCCAAAAGUCUUACUGUUAAAAAUGUUGUCUUUGCUUUUAUAUACAAUAAAAAUGAAAAUGACCUAAAUCA